CUUCCCACUCUACACACACGAUAGUCUGCUCUCUUCCCACGCUCUCCCUGGCUUUGUGCUCGCUGCUGCUUCUGUCUGGGAUGUUUUCUCCUCUCCCCUCAUCUACACACCCCACGCCUACUGUUCCUUCAAAUCUCAUUCACAGGUGACUUCACUGAAACCUUUACUGACUUCUGUGGCCAUCUCUAAUGACUCAACUGCAUUUUUAAAAAUAGCUUUAAUGAGAUAUAAUUUAUAUCACAUAGUUCACCUAUUUCAAGAGUACAAUUUGAUGAUUUUUAGUAUAUUUACAAAAUUGGGCAACCACCACCAUAAUCUAACUUUAGAACAUUUUUAUUAUUCCCCAAAGAAAGACUUAGUUUUUGUUCUUGAAACUCAUAUACCUGGAAUGGAAGACAAUAAACAAGUCAUUACCAAUGUGAUGGGUAUUUUCAAGACUUGUUUGGUGAAGGGUGACAUGGAAAUAUUCUAGGUCAUUUGGAAAUUAAUUGUUCCACUGAAGUGAGUUUUUAAACUGAAAUGGACUCUUUCAAACCUUAAAAUUUAAUUAUUUUUCACUCUUUUGUGAGAAAAUACCCCCACUGGUGUUCUUUUAGUUGCAUGAAACCUACCAUACUCUGGACAGCUGUAGGACUUGGGAUGACUGUUGUAUUUGGCAAUUCAGAGGAUGUGAGUUUGUGGCAGUGUGGGUUAUCCAGGAAACAGAUGCCAAGACAGAGUCAGAAUCGUAAGGGAUUCGUCAGCAAUAACGUUUGUGAAAAGUAAAUGGGAGAGGAGUCGGCAGGGAAAGGCUGCAGACCACGAAACCUGUCUGACACCUGUGAAAGGAAGGAGGGAGGACCCGCCAGGAAGACCUCACGCUGAGGUGCAGCCUGAGAACAUCUCGGCCAGCCCAGCAGGGCGCUCCAGCACACUGGGCAGAAAUGGAAAGAUUGUCAAGAGAGGACACGUCACCCUUGGAGGGAGAGCCAACUGGUUGGCUUCAUUUUUCCCUAUAGUCAAUGGACUUUAUUUACAUGGCAGAGAACAUUGUCACUUGCAAGUUUUAUCAGAACAAUCCCAAAGGAAGACCUAGACAAAGCUGGCUUGGUUGUAUGAUCAUGUCUGGGUCACGUGGCCUAUCUUGGUCACAUGCAUUUCCCAUGGGUAGGGCAACAGCCAAGGACUCUGAAGAUGUGUAGUAGGAUGGAUUUCUGAACUAAACUCAGCAGACACAGAUAGAGGAGUGGUCCUGCUUUGAAUUUGUUUCGCCUGCAAGAGGGUCUUAGUUCUCAUGAACAGACAGGAAAAUGGCGGUAGGUAAGUGGUUCCUGGGGAGAUGGGUACACGAGGACACUGCAGCAGCAGAUU